GUCCAGACUCCUACGGGAGGCAGCAGUAGGGAAUAUUGCUCAAUGGGGGAAACCCUGAAGCAGCAACGCCGCGUGGAGGAUGAAGGUUUUUCGGAUUGUAAACUCCUUUUGUGAGAGAAGAUAAUGACGGUAUCUCACGAAUAAGCACCGGCUAACUCCGUGCCAGGCAGCCGCGGUAAAUACGGAGGGUGCAAGCGUUACUUCGGAAUCACUGGGGCGUAAAGAGUGCGCAGGCGGGCUUGUAAGUCAGAUGUGAAAUCCUGUAGCUUAACUACAGAACUGCAUUUGAAACUAUUAGUCUAGAGUGUGGGAGAGGUAGGUGGAAUUCUUGGUGUAGGGGUAAAAUCCGUAGAGAUCAAGAGGAAUACUCAUUGCGAAGGCGACCUACUGGAACAUUACUGACGCUCAUGCACGAAAGCGUGGGGAGCAAACAGGAUUAGAUACCCUGGUAGUCCACGCCCUAAACGAUGAAUGCUAGUUGUUGUGGAGCUUGUCUCUGCAGUAAUGCAGCUAACGCAUUAAGCAUUCCGCCUGGGGAGUACGGUCGCAAGAUUAAAACUCAAAGGAAUAGACGGGGACCCCGCACAAGCGGUGGAGCAUGUGGUUUUAAUUCGAAGAUACGCGAAGAACCUUACCUAGGCUUGACAUUGAUAGAAUCUGCUAGAGAUAGCGGAGUGCUGGCUUUGCCAGAGCUUGAAAAACAGGUGCUGCACGGCUGUCGUCAGCUCGUGUCGUGAGAUGUUGGGUUAAGUCCCGCAACGAGCGCAACCCUCGUCCUUAGUUGCUAGCAGUUUGGCUGAGCACUCUAAGGAGACUGCCUUCGUAAGGAGGAGGAAGGGUGAGGACGACGUCAAGUCAUCAUGGCCCUUACGCCUAGGGCUACACACGUGCUACAAUGGGGUGCACAAAGAGAUGCAAUAGUGUGAGCUGGAGCCAAUCUCUAAAACAUCUCUCAGUUCGGAUUGUAGUCUGCAACUCGACUACAUGAAGCUGGAAUCGCUAGUAAUCGCAAAUCAGCCAUGUUGCGGUGAAUACGUUCCCGGGUCUUGUACUCACCGCCCGUCACACCAUGGGAGUUGUAUUCGCCUUAAGU
rnacentral:rRNA from 1 species